UACGAACUGUGCGAACGUUAUUCGGAAUCACUGGGCUUACAGGGUGCGUAGGCGGCUCAACAAGUCAGGUGUGAAAGCCUCCGGCUCAACCGGGGAACUGCGCUUGAAACUGUUAGGCUCGAGUCAGCUAGAGGUACACGGAACUUCCAGUGGAGCGGUGAAAUGUGUUGAUAUUGGAAGGAACACCGGAGGCGAAAGCGGUGUACUGGGGCUGGUCUGACGCUGAGGCACGAAAGCCAGGGGAGCGAACGGG
rnacentral:rRNA from 1 species